AUGGAUCGGUUCAUAAUUCCUUAUAACUUUUAGGUCUACUUUCACAGACAGGGCUUGGAUUAAGCCAGGAUUAGGCUGUAGUUAAAUUUAGAACAUUGAAGUAGCUUUUGUAAACCUGCAUUUAGAAAAAAAAAUAAAAAAAUACCGAUGUGCAUCUUGAGACAAAACCAUGGCACUGACACCUUUCUUUCUUUUUUUGUAAUACCCAAUAGUUGCCAGAUGCUGUCCUGUUGGAAAUUCUUUUUUAUGUGAUCCUGGAGGAGGGUGAUGCUACAUUAAGUCUGUCUUUGGUUUGUUCCAAAUUCAGAAGUCUGUUGUACUGUGUACUGAAUGUUUAUCUUUGUAAUAAUGCUGUUUUCAUGCUCCUCAUCUCAAUAUACAGGUGGAACAAAAAUGGAGAACAAGUCUAAGCCAUGCCAGGAAUUCUUCAAAAUGUACACCUUGCAGACACUGCGACGAGGUUUACAACAACUGCUUACCAGGUCACUGCAGUCACCCGGAUCCAGUACAUAUCCAGACCAGAUGGUGGAUCGCACCUAGAAAGGACCUCUACAGCCCUGAAAGACAGUGGAGACCAGGACAACUAGAGCCCCAGAUACAGAUCCCCUGUAAAGACCUUGUUUUUACUCCAUUUUGUCACCGGUGGAGUUUUGGUUCCUUGUCGCCUCUGGCUUGCUUCGUUGUGGUCACUUCAUUUACAGUGAUAUCAUUGACAUGAUUGCAAACGAUUCCACAGAUACUAUUUAAACUGAACCGAGCUGAAGGAUGACAUCACUGAAUUCAAUGAUAAACUGCCUUUUAAACUGACUAAAAACUGAGUUUACUAAUGUCCUUCUGCAUUAUUGACUGACACACUAUUUUCCUUUUAAUACUGUAAAGUUGCUUUGCUUUGAUCUGUAUUAUUAAAAGCACUAUAUAAAUAAACGAUGCUUGACUUGACCAUGUUGCAAGAGGAAAAUGAGGAGAGCUGCACAUCCAUCCUAGGUUUUAAAGUGAUUGGUGCAAGAUGCUGGAGAAGUAACUCCGUAUACCUCAUCAGUUCUGAUCUAAGAGUCUUGAAAAUACCUCCGGAUUGUUGUUAGUGAUUCUGAUUGAUAUUUUUGUCUGCUUGCUUACUGGAUAUAUUUUAUACUGUUUACAUUGUAAAGCACUGACUUUGACAACUUACUAACCCAGUUACAAAUUUAACAGCUAAUUUAUACUAUAUAUAUAUAUAUAUAUAUAUAUAUAUAUAUAUAUAUAUAUAGUUGUUUCUUGAAAUACUACAAAUAUAACCGCAAAUUAUGAUUUUAAAUAAAG
rnacentral:lncRNA from 1 species